ensembl:lncRNA
CGCCGCCGCUUCGCCCGGGCUCCGCAGCUCCGCCGCCCGCGGGGACGCCAUGGAGCCGCCGCCCUGCGAGCAGAGAGUGCCUGGAGACGGUGGUGCGGAUUUAAAUCCUGAGUGAUAGAGGGUGGGCUGCUGAAAGCUGCCGGGAAGAUCUGUCCAUCACAUUGCCGUUCCCUUCAGCACAUUCGCAUGCCUCGAGCACCAUCACAAGCUCACGUAUGACAGCGUGAGAUGAUGCUCAGAUGCUGCUGCCAGCACCAGGUGGGCUCACACGCCCAUUCCCUGCACCCUGAGCCCCCCACACCCCACUCCCCCAUGAAACAAACCCCACAGCCACGCUCAGCUCCAUGCAACCCACAGCACUGGGGCAACGUCCUUCACAGUGACAUCCAACAGCAGCUUUCUGCCACCGUGACAUCAACAGGGACCUCCUGUGGAGUCUCUGUGAAGCUGAGUCAAAACCAGAAAGGCUCUAAGAGGGCGCAAGGGGGUGCAGAGAUAAAGGGGUGCAUGUGGACUUCCGUGCAGCUGAAGGCUGUGCACACCCAGGUGCUGGUGAGGGCUGCUUGGCUCUGGCCCUGCUGCUCAGCGGGGCAUUGACAGGUGACAGCUUCAUCCUUCCCUCAGCACCUUCUGCAUUAAACAAAAGGCGAUGUUAAAAUUGACCUCUGGAUCAUUUUGUAGCCGUUUCCUUCCAUUUUUAUUUCUAUUUCUAAUUUUC